GUUCUUGUAGUUGAAAUUUUUAACGACGGCUUUUCAGGCCGUAGGUCUCGGAGAAAGGCCGAGCGGGAACU
rnacentral:tRNA from 1 species